rnacentral:lncRNA from 1 species
GUUGGUUUGUGAGAGAUUUUUAGGGCUUUGUUGUGGAUGGGGGUUGUUGGACCGAGGGCUUCUCCUCGUGGCUUCAUCUCCCUCUCCGCUUCCUCUCGCGUCGGUGGGCCGCCGGCCGGCGACGGCGGUGAGAUCGGGACCACCGUGGCUGCCGUCGGGUGGGGAAGCAGAACCACCGUGAUGAUGGCCGUCCGUUGAUGAUGGAG